AUAUAUAAAUCCCUUCCUUUACGUACGUAAUUAAGCGUCAGUAUGAUUAUUACUCCCUCCAUCACAGUAUAUAGGGCGCCGAUGGCGUCGCUCUGGGACCAAGGUGCCUUCUGAUAGGCAGGGAUUAAGGAGUCGGUUGUGCUGCGAAAUUGAUGGCAAGGUGCCUAAUGAAUCGCUAAAAUGACGCUUGGUAACCUCCCCGUUCAAUAAAAACUGAAACAGAGUGCAUGCAUUGGUGGAGCCGUUUCUGAGCGAAAUUUUAGCGGGUUUCUUCCUCCUCCCGCGCCAUUCCUUUCUCCCCCGCUCGGUUUCCAUCUCCCGCCGAUCUGCUGCCAAAUACAAAACGAAAAUUUCGGAGUUCAAAGCUCCCGCCGAUCCGCUCUAUAAUUAGCUGCGGCGAUGGAGGGACACGUACAGACGGCAUCUUCUCUCCUCCCUCCUCUCUCCAAUGGCGCCGCCGCAGCAAUGUGCAGAUCGCCGGCCUCCUCCUCUUGGCCUCCGUGGGCUUUCUAGGGUUGCUUUCCAGCCGAGAUCGCCGCCGCCCGGAGGUCUUCCUCCUCUUGGUCUCACCGGACGCUCUGGUGCUCCUUCCUUCUCCAUCGGCACGGCAGGUUUCGAGCGUCUUCCUCCUCCUACAACUUUGCCUCGACGGCGCGUCGGCCUCACACGCCCAUCUCGCGCUCCGGCACCUAAUGAGGCCGGUUCCUCGAACUGGAGUGCCUCCGUCGGCGAGGCCGGUACAGGCAGCGGAGGGUUCGUGGGGUUUCACCUCAUCAAUGGCAGCGGCGGGAUCUCGUUUGGCGGUGGCGGUGGCGGUGGCAGCGGGAUAUCGUUUGGCGGCGGCGGCAGCGGGAAAUUAGACGAAUAACGAGUGAAUUGAAGCCUGCCUUGACUGCUGCAAAUGAAAGGGCUCGUGUGGAGUAUGCUCUAAAGCAUCUUGAGCCAUGUAGCCUAACGUCCCUAGGCGGUAUCAAACCCACAUUUAGGGCUGAUAUGGAUCUGGUUCAUAUAGAUGAGAAAUGGUUUUAUCGCACGCGGAAGACCCAGAACAUGUAUUUGAGCCAUAGAGAGAAUGCACCACACCGGGAAUGUAAACAUAAAAACCACAUUCAAAAAAUUAUGUUCUUGUCCGCAAUGGCUAGACCGAGGUAUGCUGCUCAAGGCAAUUGUGUUUUUGAUGGCAAGAUUGGGGUUUGGGCUUACACAGAAAUGGUGCAAGCUCAAAAAAAGAGUCAAAACAGCUCCGCACUUGUUUUUGUUACUACUCCUACUUUGUGCUAAAAUUUUAUGUGCACAUUAUUUACUUUGUUUCUAUAUCCAUAAGGUUGAGAGGGACAUGGGAGCUCAAGCCUUGCCAUACAGUGGACAGGGAGAAAAGUCGGGAAUACUUAGUGAAAUACGUACUGCCGGCUAUAAAGGAAAAGUGGCCUGAGAGCGAUAGAUGGAACACUAUCUACGUACAGCAAGACAAUGCUAGGACUCAUAUAAAACCAGAUGAUCCACUUUUUUUGCAGGAAGCUGCUAGGGGUGGUUGGGAUAUUAGGAUGAUAUACCAACCACCUAAUUCUCCCGACACAAACAUAUUAGAUCUUGGUUGGUUUGCCUCAAUUCAAGCCAUGUUCCAUAGAAAGAUGCCCAAGACCCUAGCCGAGAUUGUCCAAAAGGUUAAUCAAUCCCUAGCUGAGUACCCCCAUCAAAAGCUCAACAGGAUCUGGUUGAGUCAUCAAGCGUGCAUGAGAGAGAUCAUCAAGCACAAAGGGUCUAUCCACUACGCAGUUCCUCACUUGAAGAAAAAAGCAUUAGAGAGACAAGGACUUCUCUCGGUUCGUUUGACGAUUGAUCUAGAAUAUGUUGAGCAAGCAAUUGAGUUCUUGAACUCAACAUGAUUUGUACUGCCUCAUGUGAUGGUGCUACUAUUCGAGUAUUAGUUUCAUUAAUCUUAUCAAAAAAAUUGUGGACUGUUUUGAACUGAAAAUUUACACCGUAGGGUUUAUCAUGGAACCAUUUUCAUAUAACGUUA